rnacentral:rRNA from 1 species
GAAACUCGCCUACAUGAAGCUGGAGUUACUAGUAAUCGCAGAUCAGAAUGCUGCGGUGAAUGCGUUCCCGGGUCUUGUACACACCGCCCGUCACACCACGGAAGUUGGGGGCGCCCGAAGCCACUUAGCUUAACCCUUUUGGGAAGCGAGUGUCGAAGGUGAAAUCAAUAACUGGGGUGAAGUCGUAACAAGGUACC